rnacentral:rRNA from 1 species
CCUACGGGUGGCAGCAGUGGGGAAUAUUGCACAAUGGGGGAAACCCUGAUGCAGCGACGCCGCGUGAGUGAGGAAGUUUUUCGGUAUGUAAAGCUCUAUUGGCAGGGAAGAAAAUGCCGGUACCUGACAAAGAAGCACUGGCUAACUACGUGCCAGCAGCCGCGGUAAUACGUAGGGGGCAAGCGUUAUCCGGAUUUACUGGGUGUAAAGGGAGAGUAGACGGCUAAUCGAGUCAGAAGUGAAAACGCAGGGCUCAACCUUGAGACUGCUUUUGAAACUGAGUAGCUAGAGUGCAGGAGGGGUGAGGGGAAAUCCAAGUGUAGCGGUGAAAUGCGUAGAUAUUAGGAGGAACACCAGUGGCGAAAGCGGCUUACUGGACUGUAACUGACGUUGAGGCUCGAAAGCGUGGGGAGCAAACAGGAUUAGAUAACCGUGUAGUC